GCGGAGCUUCCGAAGCUGGUCGUGUCCAGGGCUGUGCCCGGCGGCAGGUCCACACUCGAGCCCCUGCUCCCCUUGACACCUUGCUCCAGACAGAGAGGCCCACAGGGGCCGUCCAUCCAAGGCAUUCUCCAGUCCUUCCGCCCCGCCCCAAGGAUGUUGCCGGUUGGCGGAGCCAGCCUGCCAAAGAAGCACAGCGUGGUGCCCAACCUGAUGGAGAAGGGCCUGAUGCUCCUCCAGUGUGUGGCCGGCCGGAACAACCUGGUCCCAGAGUGGAAACUUCGCCGGAGACAGCGCUCCCUCAGCAAGUCGGCUCAGACCAUCAGCCGCUUCUACGGGAAGAAGGGUGAAUACAAGCAAGGCCCCGGCCCCGAGGACACCAGCUUCAUGGCCGAACUAGAGGAGCUGAGAAAGGCGUUUCUCAAGCGCCCUGGCUGCCCUCAGUUCAGCACGAAGGCCACGUCUAUGUCUCAUUAUGGCUCAUCCACCUCAGCCGAGGUGCCCGAGGAGUUGUGCACGGGCUUUGAUUCCUGGAAGGUGACCCAGGACCCGUCCUGCAGCCAUCGGGGCUCCGACACAAAGGUGGACGGGUGCCUCCUUCCCUUUAGUAAGAGUGCCUGUGAAUUCAACUACUUGCGGAAGAGGAGUGGAUCCCAGAUCAUAAGCCCGGUCCCCAGCAGCCCGGUCCUGGCGCAGAGCCACCCAAAGAAGCGGUUACCCUGGUACAUCUCUGUCAUCCACGAGAAGGAUCACUGCCUGGUCAUGCUGCGGGAGGAAGUGCAGCGGCUGUCCGCGAUGGAGGUGCCACCUCAGAAGGAAGAUGAGGAGGUCUUGGCCCUUCAGGAGGAGAGGGAGGCCUUGAAGAAAAUGCUGAAAUGCCUCCUUAAAAACAAGGGCCGGGAGACAUGGGUAUGCCAGUGCACGAAGGAGCCGGUGCCAAAGCCCAGCGGGAGGCUGAGCAUCCUGAAGACCUUCUUCCCAGACGAGGAGCUGCAGCACUGGAGGCAGCUUCAGGAGGAGUCUGCCGUGACCGGCAGAGGCAAGGACCUGGAAGCAGCUGGCGGCGAGGAAGAAGAGGCUGCAGACGCAGAGGCAGAGGAGAGGGCGGACGGCGAGGGGAAGGGCCCAGCAGGCAGGAAGGGGGCCGCACCCAAGGAGGGGGGUGAGGAGCAGGAGCAACUGGAGGAGGAGAAGGAGGAGGUGAUGGAGCUGGAGGAGGAGGAGCAGGCGCAGGAGGAGGAGGACCAGCGCAGGGGGAGCUCCCGCUCCCUGGAGGAGGCUUUUGAGCGGGAGCUGAUAGCGCAGCUGGAGGAGUACGAGCACGUGAUCCAGGAGUUGCAGACAGAGCUGGAGGUCACCAGGACCAGACACUCGCUCGCAACAGGAAUCCCAACUGCACAUGUUGAACACGAAGAACGAGACCCUGCAGAAGGAGCUCCAGGAGCGGAGGGACCAGUUACAAGCCAUGUCCAACAAGUUCUCCAACCUCAGGGAAGACAAGAAGCACGAAGAGAUGAUGGGCAUCAUCGAGAAGGACAACAUUCUUCUCCGCCAGGUGACCGCCAGGUGUGGUUAAACAGCCAGACCGCUGUUCUUGUUCAAGUGUUGGAGCUGCAGAGCAAACUCGAAAAGCAGGAGCACAUCAUCUCGGAGUUCGACGCCACGGUCAGCAAGCUGCAGGCCCAGGCGAGCCAGAACCAGAACCACCUGCAGAGAUGGAAGUGGCUGCAGGAGGAGAUGCUGAGCAAGAACGAAAUGAUCCAGCAGGCGGAGCAGCAGGCCCGCGUGGCCCUGGAGAGCGCCCAGUCCCGGCUCACAGGCAGACCAGCUGGCCUCUCCAAACACUUCCAGUUCCUAAAGCUUCGAAAACUUGAGAGACUGAGAAACAAGAUCAUCCAGGCCACCUUCAGCACCUCCGGGGUCAAGUCCUUUGCCACUGAGAUCUCUGACAAUGACAUUCUGGAAGCUUUGCAGGUUCUGUCCAGUUCAGCCUCUUUGGGGAUGUUUCUUGGCACCUCAGCGUGGCCUCACCUGGAAUCCUCGUCUGCGCAGCCAGGACCCCGGCGUGGCCCCCCUUCCCUGGCCUUGGUUCAGGCUGUCAUCCUGACGACCCCAAGCAGAGGCCUCACGGGGCAGGGUGGUGCAGGAGAAAUAGUGCAGGCUUUGGGGCUGGCAGGGGCAAGCCACCACCCCCGUGGGCCUUGGCUGACAAGCUGUGGGCUGGCUCUUGAGUUCACUGAGCAGUAGAGCCUCCCUCUGCACCUGGGAGAGAGCCUGUCUGCCUUCUGGGCAUGGUGGGGGGAGGGCUCUGGGAGAAGAGCCCUGACUGUCACGUGCUCUGUGCAGGGCCAUAUGGACUCUCACUAGGGGCCGCUUCUGUCCCCACGCCCCAAGCCUCCCAUGACAUGGCCCUUUGCCCCAGCAGGUGCCUAUGACCUUCCUGCACCCACAUUUCCCCGAGACCUGAUUUCCUUUCUCCUAUGUCGUGGGAGACAGUGCCCCUGUAGGGUGGCAACAGUCUGGGGAGGGGGAAGACCUGCAAGAGGACCCGGGGAGAGGUCUCUGCAGCCUGCAAAGGUCUCUGCAAUCUGGGUCCUGUUGUUUGGUGUGGGGGAGAGGGAGGAGGGAGGGAAGGAGAGAGGGAUGGGAGGAGUCAUCAGUACCCGCCAGUAGCCAGGAAAGAAGCCCUUUCCUCUGCUGCACGCAAAACAGUGAUGUGCCAAAGCAGCAGAGCUGAGGGAGGGGCUCCCAUCUCCCUGUGCGCAGGACAGAAGGGACUUGAGGGACAGACUCGAUGGCCUCUGAGGUCUCUUGGUCUGGGCCACUCGACAUCCUCAGAGGACAUAAGUGCAGUUAGUGCUGCUUCAGGGGAGAGGUGACGCCAGCCCGUGUCGGGCUGAGUUCUGUGGCUUCAUCGCCGGGGCGGGAUCAGCAGAGGUGGGGAGUGUUUCCAGCCCAGAAGUUAGCAGAUGCCACAGACCAGAGCCUUCUCCGCUGGAGAGCCGGCGGUCAGAGUAUCAUCUCUGAGAGAGACGACUACUACAAUCAGCUCAAACAGAAAGGCGCCAGAGUGCCUCCCCUGCAGCAGACAGAGGCCUCGUCCUCCCCGAACAAGUCCAAGAAGAUAACCUCCAAGUAGACCCAGCCGGGGCC